GGAGAAGCUGUAUGAAAUACACCUACACAUCCAUCAACUACUGCAUCGAAAGAUCCUUCUUCCAGUAAGUUUGCUUUGUACAAGUGAAGUCUUUCUUUGGCUCCAUCAAGUGCACGUAAGCUUUCUGUUUUCUUAGGAUCAUCUAUGACAUUUAUAAGCAGAAUUCAGUACAUUCAAAGGGAAAAUCCAACAAAAACAAUAUAUGGAUAGAUGCAGGAGACUAAUAUUCGGUAAUGAAGCUCUCCUGCCAUUUAAAGAAAGUUCAUCCACCAGAGAAGGAAAGGGUGUCUUAAUUUAUGCCUUGACAUAAAAGCAAUCAAACCCAGGUCCUAAAAUAUAAAGAUUAUGCAGAUAACCAAGCAUAAAGAUCACAAUAAAAGAAAAAACAGAGAAAAAAAAAAAAAG
rnacentral:misc_RNA from 1 species